CGGGUGAGUAACGCGUGGGUAACCUGCCUCAUACAGGGGGAUAACAGUUAGAAAUGACUGCUAAUACCGCAUAAGCGCACGAGAUCGCAUGAUAAAGUGUGAAAAACUCCGGUGGUAUGAGAUGGACCCGCGUCUGAUUAGCUGGUUGGCGGGGUAACGGCCCACCAAGGCGACGAUCAGUAGCCGGCCUGAGAGGGUGAACGGCCACAUUGGGACUGAGACACGGCCCAAACUCCUACGGAAGGCAGCAG
rnacentral:rRNA from 1 species